UCCCUGGUGGCUCAGAUGGUAAAGAACCUGCCUGCAGUGCAGGAGACCCAGGUUCGAUUCCUGGGUUGGAAA
rnacentral:tRNA from 1 species